GAGUUCCCAGGCAGAGCUGUAAAGCGAUCACUGAAACUUUUAACACAAAGCAACUUGUUUAAAAGUACUGGAUGGAGUCCCGGUUCUGUUGAAAUAUACAGCAAAAUUCUCACAGACCUCAGCAGGCCCAUAAUUUCAUCUGUGAACCAUAUUUACUAGGAAAAUAUUAUGAUGAGCCAUGGACUCAUGUGCUUCACAGAAAACAUGAAAAAUAAUCUGCUGAAGACCUAGAAAAAUAAAUGUUCUUGGUGGGCUUCAAAUACCAGCCAAGCAAAGAGGCAAAACACAACACUUUGGUUAUUGAGAAAACUGAAAUGGUUUAUGUCCCAAUGGAUUGGAAUAAUUUUAUGCCUUGUUCAUAAUAUAUGAAUUACAGAAAUAGUUUUAUGCAAUGUUUUCAUAGUUCCUAGAUUUGUAUCUUUAAAUACACAAAAAAGUAUACUUUCUAUGGCGGUGGCAGUUCCCACAGAACCUUUUUUUUUUUCUUUCUGAGAUCAAGGUAGCAAAACUAACAUCUCCAUUUGGUAGAAUCUGGAUACAUUUGCAUUUCCGAUAAUUCCUUCGUCUGAGUCACGGAGAUGCCUUCCCCGAGACACGUAGUAAGUGCGGGCAGCUGUACAAGGGGGAAAAGGAAACCACACACACACAAAACCCAAAAACCUGAUUCCUCUGAGAGUUCCCCCUGAGGAGGGAUAUCUCCACAGGGCACCUCAGGGCAUCAGAGGGCGGCUGAGCGCUGGGCACGGCUGGUGCCACUGCCACCACAGGACUCUUGGACCGGGGCAGCGAUGCGAGGCAGCAAGGAGGAGGUCUUCGGGAGAGCGACCCCACCGAGGGGAAAGCAAACGCCGGGGCACGGCGUGAGGCUGAAGCCUAAAGAGGAACGGACAGACACGGGCGUGGGCGCCCCCGAAGCCUUGCGUGCAGCCCCCGCCGCCUGGAGCCGGCUGCUUCUGGGCGUUCUCGGCGCGGGGAGGAGCGGCCGGGACGGCAGCGGCUCUCGGGCUCGCCGACCCCAGUGGCUCGGAGGAAGUGGGGCCCCCGGGGCUGGCUGCACCCCGACACGAAGUCCCCUCGCAGCCCGCUGCGGGGCGGUCGGGCCCAGCGCUUCCGAGGGCGCUGCCUGCUGGGACGGGACGGGACGGGACGGGACGGGACGGGACGGGACGAGCUUCUCCCGUUACCCUGUCCCCGGCACCAGCAGCCAGGGCCGAUGCGGCGGCCCCAGAGGGGCGCGAGGGGCGCUUGUGCCCCACCAACAACCCCGCCGGCUCGCUUCGGCUCGGCCCUGCUCUGCCCGGGUCCCCGCGGGCACCGACGCCCCCCGAGCCUGCCCGAGCUCCGCGAAGGCGACGAGGGCCGAAGGAACGCGGAGCCGUCGAGGCGGCAGAAGUCAGGUGGGAGACUGGGCCGGGCCGGGCCGGUCCGGGCCGUGCCGGGCUUAGGGGAGCUGAGGGUUCUCCAGCGGGCGCACAGCCGGGGCCGCAGCGCUGCGCGGCGCACCGCUGCUCGGCCCCGCGCCCGCCGCCUGUCCCGGGCGGCCCGCAGCGACGGGACAGGACCCAACGGGACCCGACGGGACGGGAAGGGACGGGACGGGAGGGGACGGGACGGGACCCGACGCGACGGGGCGUGUGGCGGCGUGGCCGGCACCUGGAGCUGGACCUGCCUCCGCCCCGCUCCGCGCAGAGGCCGGGCCGGGGUUUGGCCGCGUGUCGGGUUCGGGUGGGCGCCGCAUCCAAUUUGUCGGGAGGGAUGCUGUAGGCGGAGAUGAGAGGCAGAGCUAACGGGGCUUCUGCAAUCCCUGCGUUUGCCGGGCGAGAGGCAUGGCACGGCGCCCCGGCCCCGGUACUCGGCGGGAAUAGCGGUGUCAGCCCCGCUCCCGCUGACGGGCAUCCUCCGCAGAGCCGGGGCGGCCGGAGCUUUUGCUGGGCACCGGCGAACGACCCCUCCCCAUGCCCCCAGCGCAAAGAUGAUGAUACCCUGGGCACCUGUGGCAGGAUGGUCAGUUCCUCCCAGCACCUCACUGCACUCAAGCACUCAGCCGGAGCUGCUGAUUUGGAGUGGAUGUCAGCAAACCAAGAUGUCAGCAAACCAAGAAUCCCUUUUGGAUGCAUGUUUUGGUGCAGAAGUUCAACAGAGAAGCAGCAGAUCUAAUCCCCUCACUCUCGAGGCAGGACAGAACUCACUGUGACUGUACAGCCCAUCUCACCGGAAAACCCAUCUUUGCUCCCUUUCUUGAUGCUGAGAUAAAAAACUGCUGGCACAGAAGCAGAGCCAAGCAAAAUUUUGGCAUAGGAAAUGGCCCUCGUACCACUGCCAGAACAAGGGAAUGCUGGAAAGAAGAUCCCUGGCGAGGCUUUAACUUCUCUUUGCGCCAUGUAAGCAGCACAACGUGAGACUGAAGAUGAACAGAUCCUGUCUCAAAACUGUUUGGACAUUAUGGUAAUGUAGAAAGCCUCUGCUUGAAUUUUAUCUGUACCAAUUAUUAAAAUGUGUUAAUUGUAUCUGCAAGUAUCAAUCAGCUUUGUGGAGUUUUAAAAUUAAAAGAGUAUUAUUUACACCCACUGUGUCCAUGUAUGCAAAAUGCAAAUGCAUGUUCUCUUCUUCAUGAAUAUAGACAAAAAAUAUAGUGUGCUGGUUUUUGAUGACAAUAAAAAUUAUUUGCCUCUCUAAGGAUAAACUUCAGAGGAAUUCAAAUUUUCUAGUAUCUCCUGAUUCUCAUCAGACUUCUCUAUCGUAGAGAUAUAGAGAGAGGUACUUUUCUUGAGAAGUCUCUUUCACUAAAACCUAGGAGUUCAAAGCUAGGCAAAAACAAACAAAGAAAAAAACCUUAAAAUAUACAUGAAAUAUUUCUUUUCAAAUAUCGCAAGUAUUUGUCAAAUCUCUGGAAAAUAUUUGGAUUUGUUUUUAUUUGCAUUUAAGUCCAUAAGUUUGUCCAUAUUUGUGGAAGCUAUCAUUAAUACUUGAUCACAGCGCAGAGCAGCCCUUUUGUUUUGUAUUGUUUCUGAAUGCUUUGCCUGCUACAAGUGAAAACAUAAGAGUAUUAAGAACCAGAAAUGAGUGUGGAAAAAUCUUUGAAAAUAAAACUAACACUAAUUUAAUGCUCUAAAUUGUUAAAAAUAAGACACAUGUAAAUGAUUUGUUUGUGUUUGUUAAAAGAAGUUCUGUUUAAUGUUAAUUUAGUGAAAUUCAGCUGUUGCAUAAACUUCUAGGAAUUAUUUGAAGAUUCUUAGGAAGAUUAAUUAGUCUUUUUUUUGGAAUGGUACUUGCUUGCUACUUUUUGAAAUAAAGUAGAAGAGAAUGAUAAUACAUUAAAAAAAAAAAGUAUCCUCAACAAACAAAAGAAAACACAAAAUAUAAUGCAAAAAUUCUGGCUGAUAUGACUAAAAUUUUUUUAAUCCCAUACAGCUGUGUAGAAUUCAAAGCAAUGUGGUUCAGGAAUACCUUUGCUGUAGGCUCAGAGCUGUGUACAGUGUGACUCUGUUACAGAACUCCUGUCAUAUUCAGGGUAUUAGAUUAUGGACAGUGCUCAUACAUAGAAAUUCAACAAAGUGAGAAUCACUAGUUAAAUUAGAGGUCCCCAUACACCUCCGUGUCUUCCACUGCAAAUGCUGCAAAGUUUAACACAGUGGCAAAUAGUAAAUACAUAUCUUUGCUAUAAGUGCUGCGUAUGUAUAUAUAUGCCUGUGUGUGCAGAUGUAUAUUUAUAUACAUCUAUAUAAACAUACGUUUAUGCACAAAUACUUAGGUUUUGUAUAAUCCCAUAGACCCCUUUUGAUGGUUAUGCUAUAGCAUUGUACAGUGCCCUUCCUUUCCAUGGACAGCCCAAAAAUCCCCAGACAUGGGACUUUUGGAGAUGUGCUCUAAUCUAACACUGGGAUGUCCUGCCCCAAAAGAGCAAUUUGUUGCCAGCAACUGUCCUCAGUAAAUUCCUUUGGUGUAGAAGGGCACAGAGGAGUGACAGGGAGCACAGCAGGUAAGAGGGUGUCAGAUGGGCUUUUUGGUAUCUGGAAAAAAGACACCAUUCCACUGCUGUCAUCUCUAGCUUAUCCUGUUGUUGAUACAGUGACAAUUCCAAAUAGUUUAUUACAGCAUUAGCAACCACUACAGUAUUACUCUCAAAACAGUAAGAUAAUUUAAGUGAUGUUAAAUUCACACCUAAAUGAUACACCCAUGCUAAGAAGAAAAAAAAAAUCUGCUGCAAAGAAAGAAACUGACACUUUCACCUCCUAAAUUCUGGGCUAUUCCUGCCCACAGGGUCUGUCAUGUCUCUACAGCCAUUAGUUGCCUUAUAUUUGAUUACAUCACUCAGCACAUGAACAGAAAAUGUGUAUAUGUACUAUUUCUUCUUAUGUAUCUAUCUCACUAAUCAUACUUUAACGUAGUAUUCUAAUGAGUGUUCUAAUGGUGUUCUGUAUUUAUCUUUCCAGAGUAAAAUUUACUUACUUGAGACCAAAUAUAGUAUGUCCACACUUUUUCAUUUUCUUUUAUGUAACUUGAAAAUCAAAUGGAAAUGGAAGGCAGACACUAAGCUGAAUAUAAGUCAUUACCUAUAAUCGACCAGGGUUUAUUACCAGUUAUGUGUGAAUCAGUAAGAAAUCAGCUGACUUUUCCCUUUCUGGAAAGAACUUUAGGUUUGAGAGUUAAACAGACAAAUAAAUAAAUAAAUAAAUCACCUUCACUUAUGCUUCAGUUAUUUCAACUCAAGUUUACUUCAUUUACAGUAUAAAUUGUGCUGUCAUAUUUUACAAAGCUACUUUUUUUUUUUUUUUUUUUUUUUUUUUUUUUUUUGGCAGAGAGCUAGGCUUCUUAAUGUAAAGCCUCGUUUUCUUCUUGUAAAAAAAUAUACCAGCAGCAAAGCUAAAGACUGCUACUCUGUCUGAAAG